AGUUUCCCGGGGCAACCGAUGUCGGCGGGAAGAAGGCGGGUUCAUGUGAGCGGCAACAACAAUGGCGGACAGCAGGAUGAUGGUAGAUGUCUUGAAAUAGAUGGGGACCUCGCAGUGGAGUAGUGAGAAGUUAAAGAUGUCUGUGAAUACCUCUGCCAACUGACCUGUACAGGUCCCGAGGAUGCAGUCAGGAACUCUAUCUGGGAGUAUGUCAAUUUUGCUACAGAUCCACAAAUGUUUGAACAGGAGGUCAAACAUUUGGUAACUCACAAAAUUUAGGCUGCGAGUUAAAAAAGAAAUAUCAGAAUAGUCAA